rnacentral:tRNA from 1 species
ACUUCAGAGAGAUAGACAAUUUAUCAGACCGGAUAUCUGUAAGUGCGGGUUCGAGUCCCGCCUGAGGUU